AGAUCGGGUCUGUUCGAACUCAUAACUUUUCGUUGUCGAGUUUUUAAUUUGAUAAAUUUGUCUCCAUCCCGAAUAGCAGAGUAGGUAGGUAACUAUGUAUUAAAAACAUUAGAAAAUUGAUGAAAAUAAUUGAUAAAAGAAAAAACAUUUUCCCAUACAAAAUGUCCAUGGAUUUCGUAACUGUCAAACAUUUAAUCAACAACAAAUCACAUAAUUAAAAAACAUGUAAAAAACAAAAAAAAUGUCUAAUCAAUGUCAAAUCAUUACAUACUAGUCCAUCAACCCUGUUAGAUUCUACGAAUACCUAUAUGUCGAAUAGAAUGAGGUUAUGGGUGUAAAUAAAAGGGAAGACGUGAUUUCAAUGUAUGUAAUUUUACAUGAAAUACAAACCACUAAAUCGUGGCUUGGAAGGAAGGUAUGCAAAUGAAUUUUACUAAUGAGAAGAUCGGGAAUGUAGUUACCGGCGGCCACGAUGAGAGGGUUCUCGUGUCGUGCCGCUUUAUCGAAGUGGAGUGCCGGUGUGACGCAGGUCACUCCCUUUUUAUACCAUUUGUUCAACACCAUAACAUUUAGAGUUACCCACAAUAUUUUUACAAAAUAAUUAUUAAGUUACGCAAAUAGAAGGGUUGAUUUGUGUGUAUUAUAAUUAUUUAGUAUGAAAUGUUGGUUAAGACCCGAGUGAAGCCGGAGCGUGCCGCUAGUAGGUACUAUAUACAGCAAAAGUGAAUCGUCAAUUCCAAACUUAUAUAGAAAUCAUAAAAGUGCAAAGGUAUCAUCAGUUGAUUGUCGAAAAAAGAAAAUAAAGAAGUAAUUUUCUAAAUAAUAAUAAUAACAAAUCCAUCAUUAAUUUGUCAGUACGCGAAAGCUAUAUUCACUGGCAAGGAGAAGGCGACCUGCGUUACGUCCGAGUUCCGAGCUUGCUUGCUUACUUGCUCCGGGGCACAUGGAAAAACGUUCCUAAUUUCAUUACUGUCAGCAAAGAUCUGACCGCAAAACGAAGGAGCCCUAGCGUUGGCUUCAUCAGGCAUAGCUGCAACAUUGGCAGAACGUGGAGGAACUGCACAUUCUUGAAUUUACCACUAAAGAUCAACGAAGCAUCAGUUUGUAACAUCGCCAAAAUAAAUGUACGAUGCGAGGUCACUGGAGCCACUGGACAGAACGUUAAAAGUUAUUUUUUGGUGGAGCCAUGAUUCUGUUAACAGGUUCAGGUGAUAUUCGUCAGAUUCUUCCAUAAUUCCCCGAUCAACUGUUGCUGACGAACUAUAGGCAUUUGUGGCGGCACGUAAAUACACUCCAAUUAACAACUAAUAUGCGCGUGUUUCUUCAAUAAGAUCAAACUGCGACUUUGUUGUCGAAGGAGUUAUUAGAUAUUGGAAAUGGUAGGGUCGCAGUUGAUAUUUGGAACGGAUGAUUUACACUACCCACAGAUUUUUGUCACUUUACCGACUUAAAAAGAGCUUAUUCGGCGUGUUUUUACGGACAUAGAACAACAAUUCAGAAACCAUAA